ensembl:lncRNA
GAUUCUUUACCAGCUGAGGUACCAGGGAAGCCCAACUCUUAGCAUCAUACAGCUGGAUGGAAAACAUGGAAAGUAAAGAGUGAUCACGAAGUGGACCCAAGUAGACUAUGACUGGUCUCUAUGUGAUAACCACUCACUCAGGGAUAUCUUUGCACAACCAUUUUCCAGAGUCAAAAUGUUUGUAUAAUGUCACCAUUUUGCCCUACUCCUCUUAUUCUUACAGGGCCCAGAAAAGCAAUAUAGUGACUCAGUGCCUGAGAGAAGAUGAAUCCCAUGUGUCCUUGGGAAAUGUUUAAGACGCUGCAUGUGAACAAAUAGUUAUUUCGUUAUGCAAAAAGAAAUUAAAUUUCUGCUGUUGGCAACAGAACUAAAACAGCAAAUCUUGGUUGACUUCUUUCCAAAGAUCACCCCAGGUAGCCAUCUCACAGCAUCCAUCUAUCGAUUCUCCCUGCGCAAGGUGAAGAAGAAACCACUGGAGAAGACUGUCUUGGUGAAAAUGCGGAGAGUAGAGUCAUCAGGUGUUUGGAGAUGGAAACCUGAAGUGUCCUGGGCAGAGGAGGAUGGCUAAGAAGAUAUGUCCUGGUUUCCAGUCAUAUCUGCCAUAUGUCCAUGGCACUGUAUCUAUUUUUUCUGAAACUAUUUCUCUAAUUAUAAAAUUACUAAGAUGAUGCUUACUUUAUGGUAAUCUUUUGAGUGUUACUGUGAUUUUGUUGUUGUUCAGUCACUAAGUCAUGUCUGACUCUUUGUGACCCCAUGGAAUGCAGCAUACCAGGCUUCCCUGUCCUUCACUAUCUUCCAGAGUUUGCUCAAAUUCAUGUCCAUUGGGUCAGUGAUGCUGUCUACCCAUCUCAUCCUCUGUCACCCCCUUCUCCUUUUGCCUUCAAUUUUUCCUAGCAUUAGGGUCUUUUCCAGUGAGUCAGCUCUAAGUAUUGGAGCUUCAGCUUCAACAUCAGUCCUUCCAAAGAAUAUUCAGAGUUGACUUCCUUUAGGAUUGACUGGUUUGAUCUCUUUGCUGUCCAAGGAACUCUCCAGCAUGACAAUUUGAAGGCAUCAGUUCCUCAACAUUCCAGCCUUCUUUAUGGUCCAACUUUCACAUCCAUGCAUGACUACUGGAAAAACCAUAGCUUUGACUAUAAUGGAUCUUUGUUGGCAAAGUGAUAUCUUUGCUUCUUAAUACACUGUCUAGGUUUGUUCUAUUGUUACUGUGAUAAUGGUGGCUCAGUCAGUAAAGAAUCUGUCUGCAGUGUAGGAGAUUGCCUGCAAUGCAGGAGACCUGGGUUUGAUCCUUGGGUCAGGAAGUUCCACUGGAGAAAGAAAAGACUACCCACUCCAGUAUUCUUGCCUGGAAAACCCCAUGGACAGAGGAGCCUUGCCCAUAGGGUUGCACAGAGUCAGACAUGACUGAGCAACUAAACCAACACCACUGUGAUAAUAACAUGUAAUGUAUAUAACAAUAUUUUUAUAACAUUGAAGAUAUCACUGUCUCUUUAUGGUAUAGCAUCCUUUCCUUUUGAUGAUUUAUUUAAUCUUAAGCCCCUAAAACAGACUCUGCUUCUGCUUUCUGUCCU